rnacentral:rRNA from 1 species
UACAGAGGGUGCAAGCGUUGUUCGGAAUUAUUGGGCGUAAAGCACGUGUAGGCGGCUUGUUAAGUCGGGUGUGAAAGCCCUCAGCUCAACUGAGGAAGUGCGCCCGAAACUGGCGAGCUUGAGUGUCGGAGAGGAUGGCGGAAUACCCCAAGUAGAGGUGAAAUUCGUAGAUAUUAGGAAGAACACCAGUGGCGAAGGCGGCUCACUGGCCCGGUACUGACGCUGAGGCGCGAAAGCGUGGGGAGCAAACAGG